rnacentral:rRNA from 1 species
CCUACGGGUGGCAGCAGUGAGGAAUAUUGGUCAAUGGACGAGAGUCUGAACCAGCAAAGUAGCGUGAAGGAUGAAUGCCCUAUGGGUUGUAAACUUCUUUUAUAUGGGAAUAAAACGUUCCACGUGUGGGAUUUUGUAUGUCCCAUAUGAAUAAGGAUCGGCUAACUCCGUGCCAGCAGCCGCGGUAAUACGGAGGAUCCGAGCGUUAUCCGGAUUUAUUGGGUGUAAAGGGAGCGUAGGUGGAUUGUUAAGUCAGUUGUGAAAGUUUGCGGCUCAACCGUAAAAUUGCAGUUGAAACUGGCAGUCUUGAGUACAGUAGAGGUGGGCGGAAUUCGUGGUGUAGCGGUGAAAUGCGUAGAUAUCACGAAGAACUCCGAUGGCGAAGGCAGUUCACUGGACUGCAACUGACACUGAGGCUCGAAAGUGUGGGUAUCAAACAGGAUUAGAUACCCUAGUAGUC